rnacentral:rRNA from 1 species
AUGGCGAAUCCUUUAUCUCUUCCUUUGUCCCCCGAGUUUGAAGUUCUUCACUUCAAACAAAGACCAGGAGAAAAUUUAAAAGAUGCUUGGUAUAGGAUGAUGGAAUCUUAUCGUAAUUGUACCCUAGAGAUAAAUUUUAGAAUUUUACUUCGCAAUUUUUAUGUUGGACUAAAUAUGUCCCAUAGAGAACUCUUGGAUUCCGCUGCCAAAGGCAAUUUUAUCGAAAUUGAUCCCAGUAUUGCGCUUGAAAUUAUAGAGGGAAUAGUAGGAAUACUUGCCCAAAAAAAGGGACUACAUCAUACCCAGGAAGAGACACAAGUUUUUGAGAAAAUUUGUGAAGUAACGAAAAUCUUACAAAAGUCUCUUGAACCUCUCAAAAGUGUUAGCGGAAACCUUCACCCCAUGAAUAUGUUGAUCACCCUUUGCAAUAAGAGGUUGGACUCUUUAGAUUUGAAAAUUUCCGAAUAUGAAGGGAAACCCAAAGAACCUCCCGGAUUCGAGCAUGACUCCGCUAAAAAGAUAAAAACCAAAGAUGACAAUACCUAG